rnacentral:rRNA from 1 species
CCUACGGGAGGCAGCAGUGGGGAAUAUUGCGCAAUGGGCGAAAGCCUGAUGCAGCGACGCCGCGUGAGGGAUGAAGGUCUUCGGAUCGUAAACCUCUGUCAGCAGGGAAGAACGGUCACUGUGCUAAUCAGCAGUGAAUUGACGGUACCUGCAAAGGAAGCACCGGCUAACUCCGUGCCAGCAGCCGCGGUAAUACGGAGGGUGCGAGCGUUAAUCGGAAUUACUGGGCGUAAAGCGCUCGUAGGCGGUAUGUCAAGUCAAGGGUGAAAUCCCCGGGCUCAACGUGGGAACUGCCUUUGAAACUGGGAAGCUAGAGUGUGUGAGAGGGUAGUGGAAUUCCAGGUGUAGGGGUGAAAUGCGUAGAUAUGUGGAGGAACACCAGUGGCGAAGGCGGCUAUCUGGCACAUAACUGACGCUGAGGAGCGAAAGCGUGGGUAGCAAACAGGAUUAGAUACCCCAGUAGUC